rnacentral:rRNA from 1 species
UACCCGCAGCACAAGUGGUGGUCAUUAUUAUUGGGCCUAAAGCGUCCGUAGCUGGCUUGUUAGAUGCCUGGGUAAAUCGAUGCGCUCAACGUAUCGAACUCCGGGUAGACCGGCAAGCUUGGGACCGGGAGAGGCGUGAGCUACUCGGGGGGUAGGGGUAAAAUCCUGUAAUCCUCCGGGGAGGACCAGUGGCGAAGGCGACUACCUGGCCCAUUCUUGACGCUGAGGCGCGAAAGAUAGGGGAGCGAACGGG